AUUGAACGCUGGCGGCAGGCUUAACACAUGCAAGUCGAGCGGAGAUGAGGUGCUUGCACCUUAUCUUAGCGGCGGACGGGUGAGUAAUGCUUAGGAAUCUGCCUAUUAGUGGGGGACAACAUUCCGAAAGGAAUGCUAAUACCGCAUACGCCCUACGGGGGAAAGCAGGGGAUCUUCGGACCUUGCGCUAAUAGAUGAGCCUAAGUCGGAUUAGCUAGUUGGUGGGGUAAAGGCCUACCAAGGCGACGAUCUGUAGCGGGUCUGAGAGGAUGAUCCGCCACACUGGGACUGGGAAACGGCCCAGACUCCUACGGGAGGCAGCAGUGGGGAAUAUUGGACAAUGGGCGGAAGCCUGAUCCAGCCAUGCCGCGUGUGUGAAGAAGGCCUUUUGGUUGUAAAGCACUUUAAGCGAGGAGGAGGCUCUUAAGGUUAAUACCCUUGAUGAGUGGACGUUACUCGCAGAAUAAGCACCGGCUAACUCUGUGCCAGCAGCCGCUGUAACAC
rnacentral:rRNA from 1 species